UGACGACCGGCGCACGGGUGAGUAACGCGUAUGCAACCUACCUUUAACUGGGGCAUAGCUCCGAGAAAUCGGGAUAAUACCCCAUAAUGUUACAAUUUCGCAUGUUAUUGUAACUAAAACUCCGGUGGUAAAAGAUGGGCAUGCGUGUCAUUAGCUUUGUUUGGUGAUGUAACGGGCUCACCAAGGCUACGAUGACUAGGGGGUCUGAGAGGAUGAUCCCCCACACUGGUACUGAGACACGGACCAGACUCCUACGGGAGGCAGCAGUGAGGAAUAUUGGUCAAUGGGCGAAAGCCUGAACCAGCCAUGCCGCGUGCAGGAUGACAGCCCUAUGGGUCGUAAACUGCUUUUAUACGGGAAGAAACCCCUGAUCGUGAUCGGGGCUGACGGUACCGUAAGAAUAAGGAUCGGCUAACUCCGUGCCAGCAGCCGCGGUAAUACGGAGGAUCCUAGCGUUAUCCGGAUUUAUUGGGUUUAAAGGGUGCGUAGGCGGAAUAAUAAGUCAGUGGUGAAAUCCUGCAGCUUAACUGUAGAAUUGCCAUUGAUACUGUUAUUCUUGAAUGCAGUUGAGGUAGGCGGAAUGUGUAAUGUAGCGGUGAAAUGCUUAGGAUAUUACCCAGAACACCGAUUGCGUAGGCAGCUUGCUAAACUGUGAUUGACGCUGAGGCACGAAAGCGUGGGUAGCAAACAGGAUUAGAUACCCUGGUAGUCCACGCCGUAAACGAUGAUUACUCGAUGUGUGCAAUAUAUCGUACGCGUCUGAGCGAAAGCAUUAAGUAAUCCACCUGGGGAGUACGGCCGCAAGGUUGAAACUCAAAGGAAUUGACGGGGGCCCGCACAAGCGGAGGAACAUGUGGUUUAAUUCGAUGAUACGCGAGGAACCUUACCUGGGCUUAAAUGUAUUCUGACGUUCCGGGAAACUGGAAUUCCCUUCGGGGCAGAUUACAAGGUGCUGCAUGGUUGUCGUCAGCUCGUGCCGUGAGGUGUCGGGUUAAGUCCCAUAACGAGCGCAACCCCUAUUGUUAGUUGCCAGCGGAUAAUGCCGGGGACUCUAACGAAACUGCCAGUGUAAACUGUGAGGAAGGUGGGGAUGACGUCAAAUCAGCACGGCCCUUACGUCCAGGGCUACACACGUGUUACAAUGGUCGGUACAAAGGGCAGCUACCACGCGAGUGGAUGCUAAUCUCCAAAACCGAUCUUAGUUCGGAUUGAAGUCUGCAACUCGACUUCAUGAAGCUGGAUUCGCUAGUAAUCGCACAUCAGCCAUGGUGCGGUGAAUACGUUCCCGGGCCUGUACACACCGCCCGUCAAGCCAUGG
rnacentral:rRNA from 1 species